rnacentral:rRNA from 1 species
UAGGGAAUCUCCGGCAAUGGGGGCAACCCUGACCGAGCAACGCCGCGUGAGUGAAGAAGGUUUUCGGAUCGUAAAGCUCUGUUGUAAGAGAAGAACGUGUGUGAGAGUGGAAAGUUCACACAGUGACGGUAACUUACCAGAAAGGGACGGCUAACUACGUGACAG